UUUUAUGAGAGUUUGAUCCUGGCUCAGGACGAACGCUGGCGGCGUGCCUAAUACAUGCAAGUCGAACGCCUCUUUUUCCACCGGAGCUUGCUCCACCGGAAAAAGAGGAGUGGCGAACGGGUGAGUAACACGUGGGUAACCUGCCCAUCAGAAGGGGAUAACACUUGGAAACAGGUGCUAAUACCGUAUAACAAUCGAAACCGCAUGGUUU
rnacentral:rRNA from 1 species